rnacentral:rRNA from 1 species
UACAGAGGGUGCGAGCGUUAAUCGGAAUUACUGGGCGUAAAGCGUGCGCAGGCGGUGAUGUAAGCCAGGUGUGAAAUCCCCGGGCUUAACCUGGGAACUGCAUUUGUGACUGCAUCGCUGGAGUGCGGCAGAGGGGGAUGGAAUUCCGCGUGUAGCAGUGAAAUGCGUAGAUAUGCGGAGGAACACCGAUGGCGAAGGCAAUCCCCUGGGCCUGCACUGACGCUCAUGCACGAAAGCGUGGGGAGCAAACAGG